AAUUAUAAUAUAUUGAUUAAAGUAACUAACGGAAUGUAAAACAUUGGAGCGUAAACUAGCGCAGCACCAGGAUGGUCGUUAAGCAUUGUGACGUCACCAAUGACGCUGUUGGGCACGAUGGUCAGGAGCGGACGGCCGCCGCCGCCUCAGUCUUGGGCUGACAGCCAGCAGAGGUAGUUCCUUGGGAGGUGUCCGGCCGCCGCCGCCGCCUCAGUCUUGGGCUGACAGCCAGCAGAGGUAGUUCCUUGGGCGGUGUCCGGCCGCCGCCGCCGCCUCAGUCUUGGGCUGACAGCCAGCAGAGGUAGUUCCUUGGGCGGUGUCCGGCCGCCGCCGCCGCCUCAGUCUUGGGCUGACAGCCAGCAGAGGUAGUUCCUUGGGCGGUGUCCGGCCGCCGCCGCCGCCGCCUCGGUCUUGGGCUGACAGCCAGCAGAGGUAGUUCCUUGGGCGGUGUCCUGCUUCUUGCUUCUAUUGCAGCUACACCGGUCAUCAGGCGGGUGUGGAUUUCUGUAGUGUAAUUCAAGGAACAAAUUUUAUCUGAAUUACUUCGGUUACGACCGGGUAUCUGGAUCCGGCUUGACAAUGGCAGUCUUCACGCUUAAGAAAUAACUUGAAGUGAACGGAGGACUAGUCAGAAGGGGAACGCAACUGGUUCUGACGUGACAUAGCUGCAAGUCUCGACAGAGGUGGUUGGACGGUGUGCAACACGGGGCGCCUGUCAACGUUGCUGGAAUAUCUG